GCAGAGAAAGCAGGGCUUCUGUUGUGAGGGGACAGCACCCCCAACCUGGCCCUCAACAGCCUUCACAAGUUUGUGGUUCCAAAAGCAGUUUUAUUUUUCUUCUUGUAAAUCAUGACCAGUGAGAAAUAAUGUGUGCCCCACCCCCCACCAGUGAAGAAGCUGUGCUCAAACUGAGAACAGCAUCCUCAGUGCCGGACAAAGCGCAGAGACCUGGAGUUGAGCAGGUCUUCGGGGUCGGGGAAGACAGAGUCUAGUCGGAAGCCGUGCUCGAGAGCCACCCGCAGCACCUCCUCCAGGAAGCUUGGGGUGCCCACCACCUCCCGCCGCUCUCCUGGCCCCCCAGUCCACAGCGGCUGCAGCCCCAGUCUCCCAUACUCCACCUCGGGGAGUUCCACGGGGCGGGGGGCCCACUCCAGAUGAAAAUGUGGGCUCCCCUCUGCCCUAUCCCCACUGGCCACACCAAAUCGGGCCCGCAAAGCACCUAGACACUCAGAGUCGGUGCAGAAAAGGUUGGCUCGGAAGGUGUCCACCUGGACGGAGCUCAGCUCAUAGUGAUGGGGUCCCCGGCGAGCAGAGAAGUGCACCAGGCGGGGGCUGACAUCUACAUCUGCGUGGAGCAGGGCAGCUGUGGGUGCAGGGGUCCCCUGAGAGGCCUCCAGUUCCCGCAGCGCGUCCAGGAGGGGCCGGAUCUGGUAGAAGUCAGCCUCUGCCCUGAGCAGCGCUGUCUCUCCGUACCCACGGGGCAGGUCCAGGCGGCCCAGCCUCAGGAAAUUGAGGAUGUGCCGGAAGGCCUUGCCAUCCCGGUCGAUGAAGUAGUGGCCGCCUCCUUGGGAAUUGAGGUUGGGGGGCAUGGGGGUGCCGGCCCUAAACAUGGCCCCCAGCAUAGAGUCUGGGAAGCGGGUCAGGGUCUCCAAAGUGGUGGAAUAUAGUGUGCCCCCCACAUUCAGGGUCACGGGGCCCCCAAAGGAGGGGGGCGAAGAGGGCACAGGAGGAGGAGAAAUUUUGGGAAGUACAGGAGACACCGAAAGAAAAGAAAAGGCAGAACUUCCUGGGUGUGUGCAGAAUUGGGUCGAAGCUGUCAGAUUCGCUGGGUUGGAGGCACAGGUGGAGCACACCCAGUAAGGUUUGGGGCUCACCCCGGCUACUUUGGUGGUGGAUGGGGAGGUGGUGUCAGGACACAGAAAUCCCCAAAAGGUUGAGAGAAGAGAUGAAAAGAGCAGAGGGCAGCCAGAGAGGGGAAGGGAGCUUGAGGUCUGGACGUAUCCGAUUUGGGGUGGUCAGCGACACCCCUCUGUGGUCUUCAGACAGUGGGUUUCCGGAAUCCAACCAGCAGGUGACGGUGGCGAGCACAGGGCCGACUCUGAAGGGAUGGCCUCCGAGACCCCGGGCAGAUCGCUGCCGCCGUGGACGAGUCCAGCCAGGGCUCUGGGGCCACUCAGAGGCCUGGCCUGGCUGCCGGCGCGGGUCCCAGGAGAUGGAGGCCGAACUGACGGGAGCGGAUGGCGGAGCCCCCUUGUAUCCGCCGGGGAGCGACGAUGCGUGCUCAGCCCGGGCUGGGAGUGUCCGAGGGCUCUGAUGGAAACAGCCAGGAGUUUCGGGACCCGGCCGCGCCGCCUUCCCUGGGUGUCGCCGCAGCCGCUGAGGUCCUCUCCGCCCCCAGGAAGUGGCCUAAGGGCAGCGGCCCGGGGCCCUUUAAGAGACAGCCCCGCCCCUUGGCGCCCCGCCCCCGCCCCCGCGAGGCUCGCGCGGCCCGGGCGGAGGUGGGAGGCUGGAGGCG
rnacentral:lncRNA from 1 species